GCAACACAUGAAAAAAAUAUGGUAAUGAGGUCAUAAUGAGGUCUGACGUCAUGACAGUUGCUCCGCCCUGAUUAAUCCUUAUAAGGAAAUAGAGCUCAAAAUAACUAUUUACCGAUAUUUGCAAGAAUUUGUAGCAAACCUCAAUAUUUUCAUUUUUAAAUCAAUACUUAUUAGUGAUUUUCUCUUACAUAGAAUAGCAUAUCUAUAAAAUAAUUCACUUUUUAUGUGCCGCUUGGCUGCAUUCGGCUUUAGCCAAACGCUUGCACUCGAUGACACGGAGUGUUGUUUACAUCUACAAACGUGGCGACAUCAGCUGAGAUAUGCAGUGGAUUUUAAUGCAAUAACCGGGAAUCUUAAGAGAAAAUAGGGAUAAGAUAAGAGACAAGGCAUUGUUUAACCCUAUUACGAGAAUAUGAGAACAUUAUUUCGGAAGAUAAUGGAAGACUGAGACGAUCAUCAUCCAGCUCCCUAUUUCUAUCUCUGCAGUACAUUUAGCCCAGCUAGCUGUCAAGAGUUCCAGGCUUGAGGAUGAAUAAAUAAAAAUCCGUUCCAUUUCUCCACAGGCUAUUCCCAAAGAAUUGGAUCGAUGAAUUCAUUCAGGCAGCAAGUUAAUCCAUCAUUUACUGAAAAUGAAUUGACUUCAUCCACAAGAACAUGAAGUGAUGGAAAUAAUUUGCACCUGCUCAGUAUUCCUUAUAAAGUCUACCUAUGAAUUUGAAAAGCUGUUUAUGAAAUAAAUUUUCUUGAUCAAUAAAUUAUGCUUUGACUUUUUCAUACAUUUACUUAUACUGUAUAAUUAUUGAAAAGGCUAUUAAGAUUUGGAAAUCUCAACUUGCAUAUGUUUUGUGUGGUGGGUGUCAAUCUCGAUCAAGAUAUUAUU